rnacentral:rRNA from 1 species
UACGUAGGCGGUUUAUUAAGUCAGAUGUGAAAGCCCCGGGCUUAACCUGGGAACUGCAUUUGAUACUGGUAAACUAGAGUAUGGUAGAGGGGGUAGAAUUCCUAUGUAGCGGUGAAACGCGUAGAUAUUAGGAGGAAUACCAGUGGCGAAGGCGGCCCCCCUGGACCAAUACUGACGCUGAGGUACGAAAGCGUGGGUAGCGAACA